AGUAAAUAAUUAAGCAGAGAAAAAAACAAGUUGUAGUGAACAAAAACCUCAAGAACCUGAAAAAACAUUUAGAAAAGCAUUUUUUGUAGCCAUCCGCUAGUCAAGAAAAGAGCCACACAUACACACAAAACUGUUGAACGGACAAGGACUGAUUAGAAUUUACAUAUACAUACACUUCCGUUAUUCACAUUUUCCCCCUGAAUCUGGGUCAGUUGGAGUUGAGACAAGCAAGCAAGCAAGCAGGCAA